CCCAAUAGACCCCAGUGUUUAGUACUCCCUUCUCUGUGUCCAUGUGUUCUCAUCUUUCAUCACCCACCUAUGAGUGAGAAUAUGCGGUGUUUCAUUUUGUUCUUGUGUCAGUUUGCUGAGAAUGUUCUCCAGAUUCAUCCAUGUCCCUACAAACGACAUGAACUCAUCAUUUCUGAUUGCUGCAUAAUAUUCCAUGGUGUAUAUGUGACACAUUUUUCCCAUCCAGUCUAUUAUCAAUGGGCAUUUGGGUUGAUUCCAGGUCUUUGCUAUUGUAAACAGUGCUGCAAUGAACAUUCGUGUACAUGUGUCCUUAUAGUAGAAGGAUUUAUAGUCUUUUGGAUAUAUACCCAGUAAUGGGAUUGCUGGGUCAAAUGGAAUUUCUAUUUCUAAGGCCUUGAGGAAUCGCCACACCGUCUUCCACAAUGGUUGAACUAAUUUACACUCCCACCAACAGUGUAAAAGUGUUCCUUUUUCUCCACAUCCUCUCCAGCAUCUGUUGUCUCCAGAUUUUUUAAUGAUCGCCAUUCUAACUGGCGUGAGAUGGUAUCUCAAUGUGGUUUUGAUUUGCAUCUCUCUGAUGACCAGUGACGAUGAGCAUUUUUUCAUAUGAUUGUUGGCCUCAUAUAUGUCUUCUUUCGUAAAGUAUCUGUUCAUAUCCUUUGCCCACUUUUGAAUGGGCUUGUUUUUUUUCCUGUAAAUCUGUUUGAGUUCUUUGUAAAUUCUGGAUAUCAGCCCUUUGUCAGAUGGGUAAACUGCAAAAAUUUUUUCCCAUUCUGUUGGUUGCCGAUCCACUCUAGUGACUGUUUCUUUUGCUGUGCAGAAGCUGUGGAGUUUCAUUAGGUCCCGUUUGUCUAUUUUGGCUUUUGUUGCCAAUGCUUUUGGUGUUUUGUUCAUGAAGUCCUUGCCUACUCCUAUGUCCUGGAUAGUUUUGCCUAGAUUUUCUUCUAGGGUUUUUAUGGUGCCAGGUCUUAUGUUUAAGUCUUUAAUCCAUCUGGAGUUAAUUUUAGUGUAAGGUGUCAGGAAGGGGUCCAGUUUCUGCUUUCUGCACAUGGCUAGCCAGUUUUCCCAACACCAUUUGUUAAACAUGGAAUCCUUUCCCCAUUGCUUGUUUUUGUCAGGUUU
rnacentral:lncRNA from 1 species